rnacentral:rRNA from 1 species
UGGGGAAUAUUGGACAAUGGGCGGAAGCCUGAUCCAGCCAUGCCGCGUGUGUGAAGAAGGCCUUUUGGUUGUAAAGCACUUUAAGCGAGGAGGAGGCUACUUGGAUUAAUACUCUAGGAUAGUGGACGUUACUCGCAGAAUAAGCACCGGCUAACUCUGUGCCAGCAGCCGCGGUAAUACAGAGGGUGCGAGCGUUAAUCGGAUUUACUGGGCGUAAAGCGUGCGUAGGCGGCUUCUUAAGUCGGAUGUGAAAUCCCUGAGCUUAACUUAGGAAUUGCAUUCGAUACUGGGAAGCUAGAGUAUGGGAGAGGAUGGUAGAAUUCCAGGUGUAGCGGUGAAAUGCGCAGAGAUCUGGAGGAAUACCGAUGGCGAAGGCAGCCAUCUGGCCUAAUACUGACGCUGAGGUACGAAAGCAUGGGGAGCAAACAGG